rnacentral:misc_RNA from 1 species
GAUGAAGAACGCAGCGAAAUGCGAUACGUAAUGUGAAUUGCAGAAUUCAGUGAAUCAUCGAAUCUUUGAACGCAUAUUGCGCUCUUUGGUAUUCCGAAGAGCAUGCUUGUUUGAGUAUCAGUAAACACCUCAACCUCUUCUUGAUUUUUCAAAAGGAGGGUGGACUUGAGCUAUCCCAACAACCUUUACCGGUCGGCGGGCGGCUUGAAAUGCAGGUGCAGCUGGACUUUUAUCUGAGCUAAAAGCAUAUCUAUUUAGUCCUCGUCAAACAGGAUUAUUACUUUUGCUGCAGCUAACAUAAAGGAUAAUUGUCCUCUUUGCUGACUGAUGCAGGAUUUUACGACACUUUAUGUGUUGUUCAACUCGAUCUCAAAUCAAGUAAGACUACCCGCUGAACUUAAGCAUAUCAAUAAGCGGAGGG